GACGAACGCUGGCGGCGUGCUUAACACAUGCAAGUCGAACGGGCCUGUCUUCUUUUUUGGGGGUGGGUUGAGUGGCGAACGGGUGAGUAUCACGUGAGUAACCUGCCCUUCGGUCCUGGAUAACCGCUUGAAAGGGCGGCUAAUACGGGGUGGUCCGGUUGGCCCGCAUGGGCUGGUCGGGAUAGAUUCACUGUUUUUGGUGUUUCGGCGGGGGAUGGGCUCGCGGCCUAUCAGCUUGUUGGUGGGGUGAUGGCCUACCAAGGCGGUGACGGGUAGCCGGCCUGAGAGGGUGGGCGGCCACACUGGGACUGAGAUACGGCCCAGACUCCUGCGGGAGGCAGCAGUGGGGGGUAUUGCACAAUGGGCGGAAGCCUGAUGCAGCGACGUCGCGUGAGGGAUGGAGGCCUUCGGGUUGUGAACCUCUGUUUCCGGUGGUGAAGGCCCUGUCCGUGUGGUGGGGUUGACGGUAGCCGGGGAUGAAGCGCCGGCUAACUACGUG
rnacentral:rRNA from 1 species